rnacentral:rRNA from 1 species
UACGUAGGAGGCAAGCGUUGUCCGGAAUUACUGGGCGUAAAGCGCGUGUAGGUGGUGGGACAAGUCUGCUGUGAAAGCGCCUGGCUUAACCGGGCGAGGUCGGCGGAAACUGUCCGACUCGAGGACGGUAGAGGGGGGUGGAAUUCCCGGUGUAGUGGUGAAAUGCGUAGAGACCCGGAGGAACACCGGUGGCGAAGGCGGCUUCCUGGUCUGCAACUGACGCUGUGGCGCGAAAGCUAGGGGAGCAAACGGG